rnacentral:tRNA from 1 species
GGAUUUUAGCUCAGUCAGUAGAGCUUAGCGCUAACAAUGCUAAGCUUGCGGGUUCGAUUCCCGUUUGGUCCC